rnacentral:rRNA from 1 species
UGGGGAAUAUUGGACAAUGGGGGCAACCCUGAUCCAGCCAUGCCGCGUGAGUGAUGAAGGCCUUCGGGUUGUAAAGCUCUUUUGGCGGGGACGAUGAUGACGGUACCCGCAGAAUAAGCCCCGGCUAACUUCGUGCCAGCAGCCGCGGUAAGACGAAGGGGGCUAGCGUUGUUCGGAAUUACUGGGCGUAAAGCGAGUGUAGGCGGUUGCCGUAGUCAGGUGUGAAAGCCUUGAGCUCAACUCAAGAAAUGCACUUGAUACUGGGCGACUAGAGGACCGGAGAGGAUAGUGGAAUUCCCAGUGUAGUGGUGAAAUACGUAGAGAUUGGGAAGAACACCAGUGGCGAAGGCGGCUAUCUGGACGGUUACUGACGCUAAGACUCGAAAGCGUGGGGAGCAAACAGGAUUAGAUACCCUGGUAGUCCACGCCGUAAACGAUGGGUGCUAGACGUUGGCGAGCUUGCUCGUCAGUGUCGCAGCUAACGCGUUAAGCA